UGUACCUAUAUUAAAAUAUGCAUAUAUGUAAUUUCAAGUGGGUUGGAAAUUAUUCUUAUGUUUUGAAAACAUCGUGUUUUGCACUGGAGCGGGUGGGGCAAUUCCUUGGAAAGGAGUGAGCUUGGGUUGAUCGGCCAGCACCGGCGCCCGGGGUAAUCUCUUGGCAUGUCUCAUAAGCCCGUUGGGAUACCAUUAAAGGCAGAAACACAAUGAUCAGAAAAGAGGGAUAAAAUGCAAUGCCUCCUGUCCCCCUCCCCUCCAAGCACAGUCCUGGGGCUGCCAUCGCUGUUUUGCUUCCUAAGGGACAAGAUUGUGAGUGAGAGAGAAACCUGUGUUGUUUCAGCUAGGCUUGUACACAGCCCACAGCUUUUCUUUCGGUGGUUGCUGCAGCUACGAAGACCGGACAGGUCCAUGGAAGCAGUCGUGUGAUGGCUGGGACAGCUUGGCAAAAGAGUGACAGGUUUUAAUAAAUCUUCCUGUUGGUGCAGACCUAAUGCGGCAUUGCUCAUGAGCGCUGCUAGAGAGCAUUUGUGUUUGCACGAAAGCCUGUGCAUCAAAUGGGGUUGGGGCUACCCUGAAAGUGAGGAGUGUAAUUAAUUCAAGAAAACUCCAAGAGGAAGGAUUUAUUUGGGAAAACAAAAAUGGAAUUACUUGUCAAAAUGUCCCUCCUCACCUACAAAUUCUCUUUCUGCUGCUGCUACACCUACAAAUUCUCUUUCUGCUGCUUCCCUAGGUAUAGGGAAACAAUUUCCCUCACUGUCAAGGAUUGGGCCAGGAGAAGAACACUUUUUGCUUUCCAGAUUGAGUAGAGAGUUGCCAGGAGAAAUGACAAGGAAAGAGCAAGAAUAAAAGAGCCUGCGUGGAUCCACUCACCCCCUCUCCCGGUGCACUCCCUGAAGAGUGGAGUCAGAGCAGCAGGGUUUGGAGGGUGUGAAACAGGGUUGCCAAAUUGCAUAAGUCUCUAAAAAGAUCCAUAUGUCUGGGCUGCACUAAGCCUCUGGGCCCAGGGAGGGGGCCAAUAACAUCAUCUGCUGGAUGGGAGUGCAGUUCUCUUCCUCUGGGGAGGAUUAGAUGUCAGCUUGACUAGAUGCUGCCAGGCUCAUCAUGACCCAGAUUGGGGACUUCGGGGUGCAAGUGUUUGGGGUGGGG